UCGGAUAUGGUGUAACGGCUAACAUUACCGCCUCUCAUGGACUGAGGUUCAGGACGCGGUAGCUCGGGGUUCGAUUCCCCGUAUCCGAA